GGGGAAUUAGCUCAAGUGGUAGAGCGCUCGCUUAGCAUGUGAGAAGUAACGGGAUCGAUACCCGUAUUCUCCA
rnacentral:tRNA from 1 species